AGUAACACGUGGGUAACCUGCCUUAUAGUGGGGGAUAGCCUUUCGAAAGGAAGAUUAAUACCGCAUAAGAUUGUAGUAUCGCAUGAUAUAGCAAUUAAAGGAGCAAUUCGCUAUAAGAUGGACCCGCGUCGCAUUAACUAGUUGGUGAGGUAAUGGCUCACCAAGGCGACGAUGCGUAGCCGACCUGAGAGGGUGAUCGGCCACAUUGGGACUGAGACACGGCCCAGACUCCUACGGGAGGCAGCAUG
rnacentral:rRNA from 1 species